GAUGAAGAACGCAGCGAAAUGCGAUACGUAAUGUGAAUUGCAAAUUCAGUGAAUCAUCGAGUCUUUGAACGCACAUUGCGCCCCCUGGUAUUCCGGGGGGCCUGCCUGUCCGAGCGUCAUUGCUGCCCUCAAGCACGGCUUGUGUGUUGGGCCCCGUCCUCCGAUCCCGGGGGACGGGCCCGAAAGGCAGCGGCGGCACCGCGUCCGGUCCUCGAGCGUAUGGGGCUUUGUCACCCGCUCUGUAGGCCCGGCCGGCGCUUGCCGAUCAACCCAAAUUUUUAUCCAGGUUGACCUCGGAUCAGGUAGGGAUACCCGCUGAACUUAAGCAUAUCAAUAAGCGGAGGA
rnacentral:misc_RNA from 1 species